rnacentral:piRNA from 1 species
AUGGUGAUCCAAGUGAGCAAAGAGAAC